rnacentral:rRNA from 1 species
CGUGGGUAACCUGCCCAAGAGAUCGGGAUAACACCUGGAAACAGAUGCUAAUACCGGAUAACAACAGAUGAUGCCUAUCAACUGUUUAAAAGAUGGUUCCGCUAUCACUCUUGGAUGGACCUGCGGUGCAUUAGCUAGUUGGUAGGGUAACGGCCUACCAAGGCGAUGAUGCAUAGCCGAGUUGAGAGACUGAUCGGCCACAUUGGGACUGAGACACGGCCCAAACUCCUACGGGAGGCAGCAGCU